UUUUAAUAGCUUAUGUAGAGCGUAAUAUUGAAGAUAUUAAGGAAGUAUUGACUUUAAAAUGU
rnacentral:tRNA from 1 species